AAUUCCACUAUAAACAAUAAUCCCAUAAGAGGCUGUGUUAAAAAAGGGUGUGGUUUUCCAAAGAUGGCGGAUAGAAACGUUGCCGGAAUACAGCAAUCCUGCUAUCUGCAUUCUGCAAGAAGUCUAUUGUUGACAUUUUUUCGCUUAACCCUACCGGGAACUGCGCGAACACCGAGAGCCCUUGAGUAAUAAACACUCGCUGGUUUUGGGAUAGGCGAUAGUGUACCUUAUUAUAUCGUGCUACAACGUUUCGCAAUAAAAAUGGCUUAAGCUAAUUUCAAGUGAGAAAUUCAAUCUGGCAAUGUUCUGGUCUUCCAGAAGUUUACCAUUUUAAGGCUUGCCAGUUGCAAGCAUGGAUCGGGAAUUUUGCACCGCAAUCCUUUUUAUCUUAGAUAAAAUUCGUAAUCUGGAAUUUUCCUUCAUUUUCUGCAUGAUGGGCAUAUUCAAUAUCUAGUCUCAUCUGGCCAUCAAAGAUCUGUGAUUUGUUGUGAAUGAGUUGGAUAAAAUAGAUAUAGCAGUUAUGCAAGCAUUACUACUCAUUUCUACUCAUUUCAUUGAAUAAUGAAUGUUGGCUGUGAGAUGCCCAUUGAGCUUUCUCUAUUAUUAUUUGAGAGCUGAAUGGUGCUUAGCCCCAAAUCCCGGAGUGAGAAGAAAGCAGAAAAAGAAGAAGAAGCUGACAGAGGGACAGAAGAGGCGGCGCAACCGUUAUAACUACGAGAAGGAACGAAGGAAACGAGAGGCUGCAGCAGCUGCGGCGUUAACUGCGACCAUCCCUGACGCCCCCGAAAGGUCGGUGGUGUUUACGUCCGCCCAUCUUCCACUUCGACCCAUCGCUACUGUCGGCCCGUCCGUCAACCUGCCAACUUUACCUGCCGGUCCAUCAUGGAAGAUCGUGGAAGAUCAUGGAAGAUUGAUAUGCCUCUAAAAAAAGAAGCUACCCAAGAAUCUAAACAUUAUUGGAUGUAUUAAGUCUGACAAUAGUUGGACAACCUCAAUAGUUGGCAAAUCUACCUUUUUCAGUGUGCUAACAAAAAGUGCAGCACCUGCAGAGAAUUUCCCACUUUGCACCAUUGAUCUGAAUGAAAAUAAGUGUUCUUUUAGUGUUUAUAAACAAAAAUUUUGGUUACUGUCAUAUUAAAUUUCCGGUCUAGUGUUCAAAUAAGGUAGCAGUUCCUGAUGAAAGGUUUGAUUGGUUGCUUCAGCAUUAUAAACCCUCAAAGUAAAGUUUGAAGAAUCAUAUUCAUCCAUUGUAUUCUUAAUUGUUUUUCACUUCAAAACAGUCCCAAAUUCACUAUUUACUGGAUCAGAAGAUCAUACAGCUGGCAGCAACAGAAAUUAUGUUCAUACUAAAAGCAGUCUUUCUUAAGUGUUAUAUUUCCCGAUAGGGAUUCUAUCAAAACUCGCAUUUCCCAACCCCCUGAUACAGGCACCCCUACCCUUCUACAACGACCCGUGGAUCGACCGACACUUUUUCUGAGACUUUACCCCAGAGAUGGCGCUGAUGGCGCGGCGAUUUUCAGGGGUGUCUACACUAAUCUUUCGUUCGUUUUUUUAUUUUAGAUGCUGUGCCGCUGAGAUUGGUCUCCUUUUGUAGAGAAAAUAACGCAGCAACUCCCGGUCGAGUCUCCGUUUUUAUCGGCUGAAUGGCAAAGGAGUGCGGAGCAGUUUAGUCGGCCCAUUCGAGUCGAUUUCAGGGUCUCGUACGUAUCUUUUAUACGUUUUCUUAUUUUAGAUGCUG
rnacentral:lncRNA from 1 species